GACGUAGGGGGCCAGCGUUGUCCGGAUUUAUUGGGCGUAAAGAGCGUGUAGGCGGCCAGGUAGGUCUGGUGUGAAAACUCGAGGCUUAACCUCGAGAUGUCAUCGGAAACCAUCUGGCUAGAGUCCGGAAGAGGAGAGUGGAAUUCCUGGUGUAGCGGUGAAAUGCGCAGAUAUCAGGAAGAACACCAAUGGCGAAAGCAGCUCUCUGGGACGGUACUGACGCUGAGACGCGAAAGCGUGGGGAGCGAACAGG
rnacentral:rRNA from 1 species